rnacentral:rRNA from 1 species
GACGAACGCUGGCGGCGUGCUUAACACAUGCAAGUCGAACGGUGAAGCUCCAGCUUGCUGGAGUGGAUCAGUGGCGAACGGGUGAGUAACACGUGAGCAACCUGCCCCUGACUCUGGAAUAAGCGCUGGAAACGGCGUCUAAUACUGGAUACGAGAAGGGUCCGCAUGGGCACUUUCUGGAAAGUUUUUCGGUUGGGGAUGGGCUCGCGGCCUAUCAGCUUGUUGGUGAGGUAAUGGCUCACCAAGGCGACGACGGGUAGCCGGCCUGAGAGGGCGACCGGCCACACUGGGACUGAGACACGGCCCAGACUCCUACGGGAGGCAGCAGUGGGGAACAUUGCACAAUGGGCGAAAGCCUGAUGCAGCGACGCCGCGUGAGGGAUGACGGCCUUCGGGUUGUAAACCUCUUUCAGCAGGGAAGAAGCGAAAGUGACGGUACCUGCAGAAGAAGCACCGGCUAACUACGUG